AACACUUUUGGAGAGUGCACUAUCCGCGGAACCAGAGAGGGUGAAAGUGGACGAGGGUCUGGAGACAAAAAAAAAGUUCCGGGGCUUGGAAAAAAGGAACUUUGAAAAAUCAAAAUGAGCGAGAGGACGAAGACGAGAGAAGAAUUACAAACCAUUUCAAUCGCAAUUCCAAUUUCAUUCUGGCCAAUCCCCACUCCGACGAUCUUCUGCCCUUUGAUCCCGCAAAUUCAUAGAAGAUGUUGCACACACUCUCUGGUCCAUAUCUGGAACUUCUUCAAUAGUUACACUAGCAUCCAUUACCAGAUCCCUUUGAUCUUGUCUAAAAGGCUUACAUUGAGUCACUUUUUUGGACGGAGGAUAUUACCGAGUCGCCAAGGGGACGACGAAAAAUAUGGAGUUGAGGGAAAUAGUUAACAAACAUGAGAAAUUACGAAUGGAAAAAAUAAUCCAGGAGAAAUAAAUGGAGGACGUGGAGGCAGGAGAGAACGGUGGAAAAUGAGGGGCUGAGGGAAUGGCUUGAGAGGGGGAGAAUUUUUGACUUCGCCUCGGAUAUCCGACAAGAUGAAUCGGCGUUUCCGGGAUCACCAGGAGCAACAGUCCCUGGGUUGUUCACUUACCCUCAAGUCCACCCUCGACUGCACACACAUGCAACGAGAGAGUACGGCACGUAUCUGAGUGUCGAGAAACGUAAGCUGAGAGGCCACCCCCAGGGGCUUUAACCACUUCCAUUCGCCUAAGUAGGUCUAGUUCAAGGUCUCGAUGCUACGGUCAAGCAGGAAAAGGUUAAAGCGAAUCAUCCGAAAUAGCCCGUUCCACUGCUCCCAUUUAUCCUAGGGGGAAUUCUACCGUGGUUAUGGAGAUGUUACGUUCACACCACUGCACGACAAAGGACACUUUGCGUUAAGCGAAGGGCAAUUUUCAACUGAGCAAGCAGAUGACGGAGGUACGGAUACAUCGGGAAUUAUGGGAGGACAGUAGGAACGACUGGGGGAAGGAAUCAGGACUAAAGGCGCUAAUUGGCGCAAAUCGACGAUGUGAAUCUACUAUAUAUUUAUUCCUACCCAUCAUUUAC